rnacentral:rRNA from 1 species
CCUACGGGUGGCAGCAGUGAGGAAUAUUGGUCAAUGGGCGCGAGCCUGAACCAGCCAAGUAGCGUGAAGGAUGACUGCCCUACGGAUUGUAAACUUCUUUUAUCGGGGAGUAAAUUGCGCCACGGGUGCCUUUUUGUAUGUACGUUAUGAAUAAGGAUCGGCUAACUCCGUGCCAGCAGCCGCGGUAAUACGGAGGAUUCGAGCGUUAUCCGGAUUUAUUGGGUUUAAAGGGAGCGUAGAUGGGUUGUUAAGUCAGUUGUGAAAGUUUGCGGCUCAACCGUAAAAUUGCAAUUGAUACUGGCAGUCUUGAGUACAGUUGAGGUAGGCGGAAUUCGUGGUGUAGCGGUGAAAUGCUUAGAUAUCACGAAGAACCCCGAUUGCGAAGGCAGCUUACUAAACUGCGACUGACAUUGAUGCUCGAAAGUGUGGGUAUCAAACAGGAUUAGAUACCCGUGUAGUC